CUAGUUUACUGAAUAACCCAAAUUACAACUUUAGAAUUCUUUUAAGAGUCAAAUCAAAUAUAAGCAAUGUGGUACUAUUUCUUUCAAGGAAAAGUGCAAUGCAGACUUGACUCAUAGUGUGUGUGUUCAUCCAAAGUCGAAUAAGCCAGGAUAUAUUCAAGUCACAGCUUUCAAGUGUUACGAAAUUAUCAGCAACUUUGUGUAUGUAAGAAAUCCCAGCCUAGAGCCAUAUAGCCAC